rnacentral:rRNA from 1 species
GGGAAACUAGGGCUAAUACCGGAUGAUCCCCGUGAGGGGGAAAGAUUUAUCGCCGAAGGAGGGGCCCGCGUCCGAUUAGCUAGUUGGUGGGGUAAUGGCCUACCAAGGCUGCGAUCGGUAGCCGGUCUGAGAGGACGAUCGGCCACACUGGGACUGAGACACGGCCCAGACUCCUACGGGAGGCAGCAGUGGGGAAUAUUGGACAAUGGGCGCAAGCCUGAUCCAGCCAUGCCGCGUGGGUGAAGAAGGCCUUCGGGUUGUAAAGCCCUUUUGGCGGGGACGAUGAUGACGGUACCCGCAGAAUAAGCCCCGGCUAACUACGUGCCAGCAGCCGCGGUAAUACGUAGGGGGCGAGAGUUGUCCGGAUUUACUGGGUGUAAAGGGUGCUCAGGUGGAUUUGUAAGUCAGAGGUGAAAUCCCAAAGCUUAACUUUGGAGCUGCCUUUGAUACUGCAAGUCUUGAGUUUGGAAGAGGGUAAUGGAAUAUCUGGUGUAGCAGUGAAAUGCGUAGAUAUCAGAUAGAACACCAAUGGCGAAGGCAGUUGCCUGGUCCAAAACUGACACUAAAGCACGAAAGUGUGGGGAGCAAACAGGAUUAGAUACCCUGGUAGUCCACACCCUAAACGAUGAAUACUAGAUGUUGGUCCUUUUAAGGAUCAGUAUCCAAGCUAACGCAUUAAGUAUUCCACCUGGGAAGUACAAUCGCAAGGUUGAAACUCAAAGGAAUUGACGGGGGCCCGCACAAGCAGUGGAGCAUGUGGUUUAAUUCGACGCAACGCGAAGAACCUUACCUAGGCUUGA